rnacentral:rRNA from 1 species
AGAGUUUGAUCAUGGCUCAGGAUGAACGCUGGCGGCGUGCCUAACACAUGCAAGUCGAGCGAUCUUCUUCGGAAGAGAGCGGCGGACGGGUGAGUAACGCGUGGGUAACCUGCCCUGUACACACGGAUAACAUACCGAAAGGUAUGCUAAUACGGGAUAACAUAAGAAAUUCGCAUGUUUUUCUUAUCAAAGCUCCGGCGGUACAGGAUGGACCCGCGUCUGAUUAGCUAGUUGGUGAGGUAACGGCUCACCAAGGCGACGAUCAGUAGCCGACCUGAGAGGGUGAUCGGCCACAUUGGAACUGAGACACGGUCCAAACUCCUACGGGAGGCAGCAGUGGGGAAUAUUGCACAAUGGGCGAAAGCCUGAUGCAGCAACGCCGCGUGAGCGAUGAAGGCCUUCGGGUCGUAAAGCUCUGUCCUCAAGGAAGAUAAUGACGGUACUUGAGGAGGAAGCCCCGGCUAACUACGUGCCAGCAGCCGCGGUAAUUC